AUAUCUUUUGAAAAGGCUGGGCUCGGAACUGUCCAUCCUAGACAAAUGAAGCAAGCAAAGGCUGAGAACCAUAUCGGAGACGCUGUCGUUCCAAGAUAACAGUCCGUGCUAGUGACAAGCUACAGGUGCCAAUCUAUUUUUGCUGUUCUUCCUCAUGUGACUGGCUCUGUUUGUCACCAGCCCCUAGGAGGAAAAAUGGGAGGGGAAUUUAGCCACCCUUUCCAACUUUCCUGUUCGAUUUCUCUUGUACAUAGACACUUGUUUUCCAGAAAGCAGGAAUUCUUCUUUGCUCACCCACAAAGUUUCAUUUCCAGCUGUUGAAUUCCAACUACCUAGAAACAGGGAAUCAUGGUU
rnacentral:lncRNA from 1 species